rnacentral:lncRNA from 1 species
AGUAGGCGACUGACUGCCCAAGAGACCCAGGGCUCCGCAAGGAGACGGCGCAGGUGUCGGGGCUCCCCGCAGGUGUAAUUACUAUUAUCAGCAUCUAGAAAGCAUCAUGAAUUUGCUGGAGUACUUCCUAGCACUGACCUCCUUCAUUCUGCGUUGUUCUUACUGGAUCUUUCCAUCAGCCAACAAUAUGGAAGUACCAAUACAAGGUCAAAUCAUUCCUGGAUUCAUCUGGAGUUGCUUAAAAGUUAAAUCAUUGGAAUUUUUGAUGAUACCUUUUCUAUAUGGAUUACAAUUUGAUCGCUGGGAAUUCUCCACCUUAAAGAAGACUCUUUUGCUAUCUGGAAACCCAUGUCCACCUCUGACUUCCACUCAAAAUUGCUUUCCUCACAGUCUGACUGCGAGAGUUGUGAAAAAUUGGGAUGUGCUUCUGAGGUGGGCUGUGGAAUGCCAUUACCCUCAGGUGACUACAGAUGUGUUAACACCCAGCAUGUUCCGGUAGGAGACUUUCUGGAUGGGGAAGAUUUCCAGGAAUUGGCAACAAGCUCAUUUCACUGGUGGGUUUGCUGAAGCAUUAUCACAAGACAGUCAGAAUGACUGAUGAGUGCUCUUCAGGUGUGAAUCAUGGCAAUACAGUGAAAGACAGUGAUUUACUGCUUUUGAGGGCGUGCAUGUAUAUGAUUAACGGAUGGAAGUGCAGGACUCCAAGAUUUACUUCCUUCCCUUUCCAGCAGAAUUACCUGAGACGAGUAAAAUCUACUGGUGGAGUCACUCCAUUAUUCUUAUCUGUGGAGAUCUAGAUCUUGAUUUGAAAGUUUCUGAGAAAAUCUUCAGCUCAGACUUGAGGGUCAACUUUACCAGCUGAAGGAUCUGCAUUUACUGCUCAACCACAUCUAAUUUGAUGUCCUCUGCAGAUUUAAAAUGUGUGCCUUCUUUUCCGUCACCAAGUCAUCCCUGGGUUACUACUGAACAUCCUUCUCAAUUCCCCCCGACCCAUGGAUGGCUGUUCUCCAUUGUCUGUUUCACCAGAUGUCCUCAAAACAAACAGACAGAAGAAGGAAGUGGCUAAUGGAGCUGUGGAGUCCAAGUGUGACUGCCAAGAGGAAUCCAGCAAAGCCAAAAAGCCCAAGCAUGUAGCCCUGCCCGAAGCACGCCACACGCAUGGAAAACCCAGAGGAAAUGAGUGAGGAUCAAUGGGAAGAAGAGAGCCAGCCAGGAAGUUGAAGAUUUGUCCAGGAGCAGAUAGCUGAAGAGAGAGAGAGAGAAGAGAGAACGGCUUACAGCUCAGGCUCACAGGCAGAAGGAAUUUUCCUUGUCUUGGAUGAGACUUUUGACUUGGACUUUUGGGUUAAGGAUUUACAGAAAGCGUGGUGCUGGCAUCUGAUCAGCUUCUGGGGUGGCCUCAGGAAGCUUACAAUCAUGGUGGCAUUUGAAGUGGAAGCGAGAGAGAGAAGAGGAGAUGCAACACACUUUUAAACAAGAUUUCAGGAGAACUCAUUCACUAUGUUCUGGAGACCAGAAGGCCAAAAUCAAAAGUAUGGGCAGGCUUGAUUUCUUUAGAAGACUCCAGCGGAGAACUGUGUCUCCUUGCUUCUGAUUCUACAUCUCCAUCCAUGGGCCACUGUUUCAGCAACCUCAGCCAGUGCAACACAACCUCAGCCAAGAAGAGUAUGCAGAGAAAGGAGUCCCCUACCUGCCACAAAACUGUUGUCUGAAAACUGUCUCAUAUUGUCUCAAGUUGUCAUUCAUUGUGAAUUAGACCUGUUUAACAUGUAAUCUGCAACAUGCUUCACUGUCUAAUUUUCCAGAGCCCCUCAUAUAAGGAACUGUAUUAUUGGUAUAAUCAUCAUGGUGAAGAAGUUGGGCACCGAGGAAGAGAACCAAUGGCAGAGGCCACAUGUGCAAGCAAGAUGGGAGUCUGGAGAGCCUCAGGCUAAAUCACGAGUGCUCAGCCCUCUCCUCUUUGUAAGGGCAACCGGGUCAUAUCUGCCAGCAUAGAACUGCUCUGUCCACAGCCCUAAAAUCUAAUACCUAGAACAAUAAAUGCACUUAAGCACGUCAAACUCUCUCAACCAGUGAUGAAAUCUGUCACUAGCGAAGGGACUUGUCCCAAGGGAGCUGAACACCUGCCGCUGCACCCUGACAAUGUAUAAGAAACAAGCACCACUGUGGAUGCAGCCCCAGAGGCCUAGUGUCAUGGGGGUGCAAGGCCCUGCUUCAGGCUGGGGGCCUGGGGAGGGGCUGGUACCUCUCUACCUCCUGCAGCUCCUGUUCCUCUGGCUCCUGGUGAAAAUCUGGGUCUGAACCCAUAGCAAGUGAGGGCCACAAGGCUUCACCUUCUGAGAUGCAGCUAGAAGAAACAGCUGGUAUAAUAUAUGGUCAUGCACUACCUAACUACGUUUCCUCAACAUGGGACUGCAUAUAUGACAAUGGUCUGUCCCGUGAGAUUAUAAUAAAGCUGAAAAAUUUCUAUCACCCAGUCAUAUCAUAGCCAUAGUAAUGUCAAGGCCCAAGGUAUUGUGUGUCUGUGGUGAUGCCGGUGUAAACAAACUUGCCACACUGCCAGUCAUAUGAAUAGAGCACAAACAAUUAUGUAAUAUAUAGUACUUGAUCAAAAUACACAACUAUAUUUCUGGUUUAUGUAUUUACUAUACUAUACUUUUAAUCAUUAUUUUAGAGUGUACUCCUUCUGCAUCUAUGUGUCAACUGCAAAACAACCUCAGGCAGGUCCUUCAGGAGGUAUUCCAGAGGAAGGCAAUGUAAUCACAGAUGACAGCUCUAUGCAGGUUAUCACCCCUGAAGACCUUCUACUGGGACAAGAUGUGGAGGUAGAAGACAGUAAUAUUGAUGAUCCUGACCCUGUGUAAGCCUAGGCUAAUGCAUAUGUGUGCUGUGUCUUAGUUUUUACCAAAAAGUUUAAAAAGUAAAAUAAAAAUAGGAAAUAGCUUAUGGAAUAAGGAUAUAAAGAAACCAUUUUUGUACAGCUGUACAUGUGUUUGUGUUUUCAGCUGUGUUAUUACAAAAAGGUCAAACUUUAAAAAUAAACAAGUUUAUAAAGUAAAAAGAUUUCAGUAAAGUACAGUAAGGUUAAUUUAUGGUUGAAGAAAAACAUUUUAAAAAUAAAUUUAGUGUAGCCUAAGUGUCCAGUGUUUCUAAAGUCUACAGUAGCGUGCAGUCAUGUCCUAGGCCUUCACGUUCACUCACCACUCACUCACUGACUCACCCAGAGCAAAUUCCUGUCCUGCAAGCUCCAUUCAUGGUAAGUGCCCUACACAGGUGUACCAUUUUAACCUUUUACAUCAUAUUUUUAUUGUACUUUAAACAUAUCUACAUUUACAUGUUUAGAUACAUAGGUGUUUACCAUUGUGCUACAAUUGCCUAUGGUAUUCAGUACAGUAACACGCUGUACAGGUUUGUAGCCUAGGAGUGAUAGCCUAUACCAUACAGACUAGGUGUGGUAGGUUGUACCAUCUAGGUUUAAGUAAGUAUACUCUAUGAUGUUCCCACAACAACAGAAUUGCUGAAUGAAGCAUUUCUCAGAAUAUAUCCCCAUGGUUAAGCAACCAAUGAGUGUAUUUUCUGUCUACCUUUCACCUCCAUAAUAUAUAUAUUUUUCUACAUUUCUCAUGGUAGAGGGAAAGAGCAACAGGACUUCCAGAAAAAAAACUAAUGUGUCUUCAGACUUCUGCUUGUAUGUGGCUCAUGUUAUAUCUGAGCGUAUGCUACUGGACAAAGUGAGUCACAUAGCCAAGGCUUACAAUGGGAUGGGGAAGCAUACUUCAUUUCUGUGAAGGCACUCUAAGUCACAUGGCAUCAGUGGGGUCAUCUUGUUCUUUUAUAGUGAAGAGGGGAGUAAAUAAUAGAGGACAAUAAUACAGUCCACCAAAGAUACUGAGGCCAAUUAUAUCCAAAAAGCAAGAUCAGUUUGGUGGAAUGACUUACUAAUGCACUGAGAUGCCCAUAUGCCCAUAUUCCCUGCCAAACAGUCUAAAUGGAAAACUAGAAUCCUAAUUAAAAUGAGAAAAGGCGUGUCACAAAGCUUCCUUUAUUGUAGAGCAGUUGAGUUGUGAUGUUCGUUACUAGAUUUUUUUUAUUAGCCUGUUGUUAGUUGUAUGUAUGCCUUCUAUUUAUUAAGCACUUAUUAUGAGCCAAGCAUAGUAGUAAACCUUUUUCUGACCUUAUUUAAACCUAUCAACAGUCUCAAGUUGGAACUAGGUCUCUUUCCAUUUACAGAUAAAAAUAUUAAAGGACAGAAUAACUAAGCAACUUGCCCAAAGUCACAGGUCCCUGCUCUUAUCUGCUAUAUUUUCUUUCUCUAUUUUUCUUUUUCGUGUAAUACAGAAAGCCCAUGAUCAUCCUGAUGCCUCCUCUGUGUGGAUAUCGCAGGAAUGGCAACUUACGACCUUAUGAAGUAGUUUAUUCUAAUUUAGGGUAGCUCAAAUUACUAGAACAAAUAUUUAAUGGGCCUUUAAUCUUCUACCCCUAAAAUUUUUUCCAGUUGGUUCUAGUUUUAUCUUAUGGAGCUAAAUGUAUGGAAAAUGAUUCAAAGAACCUUCCUUCAAGUAGUAGAAAUCAUCUUCUAGAUUUUAUCUUUCCCAAUCUAAAAAUACAUUGUUGUUUCAACAAUUCCAUGAAUAACAUGGAUUGUGGAUUUUUAUCAUCCUGGUUACUUUUCUCUUGGACUGCCAAACAUUUAAGUGCGGAACAAGAACUGUCUGCAAUAAAACAUAAUGAAUGUUUAUGCUAAAUUUUUAAGCAUCGACAGCUUCUAUUCAACUGAUGUAUCUCAGAACACAAAAGAGUACUUGCUGUUUCGGGAAAUUUGGUUCCUGUCUCCUUCUCUGAUCUGAAUUGUUAUGUUGAUAAAUUUGCCAUAUUCUGCUGAAGAACAAAUUCUGGCAUCUUCACUGAGGAAUCAGUGUCUGCCUCUAAUACUUCUUUCUGUGAAAUCCUGACCUGAAGUCUCCUCUAUCAUCCCAAAGAUUUAAAAAAGAUUAAAGGUGAGGCAUGGGUUUCUCUGGCCUGCUUUGGUAAAUUUAUGUGCUCACAUAACUCAUUAAUUGUUUAGGUUUAAUUCAAGACAAAUACCUGCACGUUUAUGUUUGACACUAGUAUUUAUCAAAUCCCAAAGCUGAUCUGAACCCUAAACAAACCAUAUUCUUGGCAGCUCCUCCAAAUAACACACAUAGCAAAUAUAUUGACAUCAGUUGUACUUUAAAAUGUCAACUCUGCUUUUCCUUUUCUCAUGGUGCUAAUAAAAGAUUUUAUUUAAAAACGCUAAACUUGGGAAUGAAUGCCAAAUUCCUCUCUUACCAUUCAGUAGGUCUUUUCCUGUUUUAGGUGUAGGCUAUGGAUUAUUUCAUUUGACCUUCUUGCUGUUUACCUGGUUAUAAUAUGUGAAAAUACAAAAUUUAAAGUCUCCAUUAUGCUAUGGGAACGUAAAACUUUUUUAUUUUUUAAGAGAAUCUGUAAAUAUGUACAUUUCAGAGCUACCACAACUAGAAUUAUCUUUACUGUUAAUUAAUUAAUCAAAAAUAUGGUGGACAUUAUUAACAAUAAGCCCUGAAGCAACAUUUUUGGAAAUGACCUAAAAGAAUUGCUGGACUGUCAUUCAAAGUUCAAUAAAAAUGCCUUAUAGGAACUUUUCUCUUGGACUAACACGUCAUGAUGGAGUUGAACAAGCAGUAGAUUAACAUCUGAACACCAAUUUUAAAUUACAGUGUUGUGUGAUAUUAAUAGAGUGAUUGUAAUUAAGUAACUAGGCCUCCUUUGAUCUUGUUUGCCUUAUCUGUUAAAUAAUCUACUCUUACCAUCACCAUCACUAAUGAUAAAAACAUUUAAAAUAUUGCUACUUGUGCUAGGCAGAAUCAUGGCCUCAAAGAUGUCUAUGACUUAGUCUCUGGAACCUGUAACUAUGUUAGCUCACAUGGUACAACGGACUUUUCAGAGGUGAUUAAAUUAAAAAUCUUGACAUGGGGAGAUUAUCCAGGAUUGCCUGGGAGAAUGGGCAUUGUAAUCACUUGGGUUCUUAAAAGUGAAAGAGGGAGGGAGGGAGGGAGGGAGGGAGGGAGGGAGGGGAUAUGAGAAUAGAAGCAGAGUCAGAGUGAUGCAGCUUAAGAAACACCUGACUGUAUAUUGCUGCCUGGCUUCGAAGGUGGAAGGGACCAUGAGCUAAGGAAUGGAGGUGGCGUCUAGAAGCUGGAAGAGGCAAGCACACAGAUUCUCCCCUAGAGCCUCUGGAAGGAAGGCACACCUGCCAACACCUUGAUUUUAGUCCAGUGAGACCUGUUUUGGACUUCGACUUCUGACAAUGUAAUACAAUCAAUUUGUGUUGUUUUAAGCCACUAAGUUUGUGGUAAUUUGUUGUUGCAGUAAUAAGAAACGAAUACACUACUUCAUUAGAUUACUGUAAUGAUUCCAAAAUUUAAUAGAUUAUGAGAAAGCACUUUGUAAACUGAAGUACGAUAGAAAUGUUAAUUAUUAUUGAUAAAAUUAAAGUAGGUUCUAACAACUCUAAUUAGAAGGAUGAGGUCUGUUUCAAAUAAAAUCCAGAUUAGAGAUGGGCUAGUGAGUCUUUGCCAUUUUCAUAAACUUUCAUAGGGAUCCUCCCCAAAAUGAAUUAACAGAACUAUUAAAAGCAACCCCUCUGGGACCAAUCUGAAAUUAAUUUUUCAGCUUUAUCGCUGAAACAUUCUCUAAACCAUAAAUUAAUAGGAAGCAAUAAUUCUCCCCUGAGCAGAGCAAAUGCUUAAGUUGCAGGUCCACUGGUAUAGCACACAAGCGGCCUGAGGAUAAAUCCAUCUUUGGUGGUGGAAAAUUCUUAAGUCAAAGAAAAAUAUAUUAUAUGUCAUAGCCCACUGUAGUGUAAUUCUAAUGGUAAGUUAUUUUUCAGUUUUGUAGCCUGCAUACAUAUAUAGAGGAAACAUCUUCCAGCUCAAGAAAGAACUCUGUUCUCGCCUUCUCCCUUCUAAUCUCAGUCACUAGUUGUUACCAUUAAUUAACCCUCAUGAGAAAAACCUGAUGACAUCGUUUAUUGGCAACAGACUAUAAUGAUAUUCCAAUUGAAACAAAUUAAUAGGGGUGAUCCCUUUUUAGCCAGCAGUUUCCUAUUUUUUGUACCUGAAAACUAUUUUGUAUUCAGGAACAAUAAUAUUUAAAAUUUAAGUCAACUGAUAUGUUUGUUUUAAGCUAUUUACUUAUUUAGCAUUGUGUAGAAAAUUAAUUGGCUAAAAAUCUUCACUGUUAUUCUAGAUAUCUUGUUAUCAAAAGGAACACUUCUGUAUUCUCAAAAUUAUUAGUUUGUCCUUGCAGUGAUUUUCAAAAGCAUAUCGAUGGUUGAAAUUAAAACUAAUUUGUCUAUUACAGACAUGACCUUGGUUUCAAACAGGUUCUGAUAAAUCUAGCCAGUGCAGCACAAACGGGAAAAAAAAAAGACAUUGGAAAGAACAUGGCUUAGCUACUGAACAUUGUAGGGACACUGAGUCUAUAAUUUCACUCUGGACCUUGAAUGAAAACAUGUUUCAUUUAAAUUUAUUGCUACACAAAAUUAUUUUAAUCUGGCAAUUACGUAACAAAAAACUCCAGGGGAAAUUUGAGCCACUAGACUUCUGGUAGUUGUAGUCGUUUACAAAAAGAGAGGACUGGAAUGAUACUAGGGUGAACGUGCAGUUCUGCCUCCAGGACUUAAAGGAUGCCAGGGGAAUAUGGAUUUUAUUUAUAAGGAAUUCUCCUUGGGCCCAAACCUAAAACAGUCGGGUGUGGCAUGCAUUUUAGCAGCACGAUGCGAACAGAAAAUGAACAGAAUUUUGGUUUGCUUUGGUGUAUUUAGUUUUUUGGACUUUGUCCAAUAAAACUAAAUGAUUUUUUUUUUUUUUGCAUUUGUAACUCUUGUCCUAAACUGCAACAGCUUUUGCAAAAAGUAGAUUGGCACCUACAGUUGACUUGCCAGUGGAAGUUCUUGGACACCUUUCUACAAGAAUGCAGUCCCCUCUGACCAUUGGAUUCAUCUUACUCUACCCUAGGGGGCCUAGGAAACUUCAGGCUUUCCAGUGCCUAGACGGAGCAUCCCUGCUUCCUAGUAUCAGCUUCCUUCACUGUGUAGCUGCCUUAGAACCAAGCUAAGCACAGGAAUGCCUCUGCGGAGGCAGCCUUGCGUGGCACCAGGGAAUGUUGCUUUGUUUAUUCAUACUCCAUCUCCUAAAUUUUUUUUUUUCCCCAGACAGGGUCUCAGCGCAAUCAAGGCUCGCUACAGCCUCAACCUCCUGGGCUCAAGCAAUCCUCCCGCCUCAAUCACCCAAGUAGCUGGAACUACAGGCAUGCGCCACCACAUCCGGCUUUUUUUUUUUUUUUUUUUUUUUUUGGUAGAGAUGGGGUCUUUCUGUGUUGCCUAGGCUGAUCGCAAGCUCCUGGGCUCAAGUGAUCCUCCCAUCUUGGCUCCCAGACUGCUAGGAUUACAGGCACGAGACACUGUGCCCAGGCCCAAAUUCUGUACUUCUCCCAGCUAUUGUGAAGCCUCCGACAUGGUCUGUUCUGAUUCUGUCACCUUUCUCUUCCUUCUCAAGCCCCAGUAGGGGCCUUGCCUCUCCAGCGUACCCUGCUUUUGGAGAUCUUGCCUCCAUGUUUCCAUUAUUGAUGGAGGGACCGUGGCAGGACUUUGCUUUCCAAUGUCACUAUUAUGUCAGCAGGCUAGCCCUGAACCCCACACAGUAAGACCCCUUAUGUGAGGGUUUUACACCUACUUGAUCUUAUUCCUCUUUCCAGGUGAGCACCACACACUGACCUAGCUAGGCUCAGGGUAAGGUAGCUCUUGCUCAUUUUGGCCAGGUAUUUAAUUACGUGACAUUCACAGUGUGCCUUUCUACUUAUCUUUUUAUCCUUUUCAGUUCAAGAAACGUGGCUAUACCAACUUGCCACAGUGCCCAUCCCACUUUGUAGAAGACUUUGAUAUCUGACUCACAGAGAAACUCCUGCCAGGAGUUUAUAUUGUGUGCAGCUGAUUCAGGCAGUAACUUCCACUCAGCGAGGGGGUCCAUUUACAAAAAAUUACUUCUCUUCCUUUUAUGCCCAGUAUGGUUCUUAAAAUCAACCAGACCUAUCUUUCACCAGCACGACUUGGUUCUUUUAAACCACAGUAUUUCUGCUUCUUCUAGUUGGAAAACUUUAAUAUGAGAUUGAAGAUAUGAUUUGCUUUCUGGAUUGUUGUAUGCUACUAAAACCGAAGAAAGAGAAGGAAAAAUGGAUGAAUCGACGGACCAUAUCACCCUGGCACCUAUAUCAGCUCAAAAACUGAAGGAAAUACCCCUUUCCUGCCCUCUCUUUGACUAAUGCUAUAGACUCUGAGUCAGUAGUUCCUGGUGGGACCUGAGAGUCCACAUUCCUGAUGAGCUCCAGGUGUUCCCAUGCUGCUGCCCCUCUGACCACACUUAGAAUAAGAAGGCUUGAAAUGAAAUCUGAGAAAUCAGCCUCUUGAUUCCAAUUUUAAACAUGCAAUUGAUUCUUGUAAUUUUUCAUUCUUGUCAAAAUGCAUACCAGUAAGUUUGUAAUCAGUAUUGGCAUGCUUAAAAGAAUUUAAGACUUGUUAUAUUUGUCAUUUUAAUUUAUUUAAACUUUAAAGAUUUGUUCAGAACUUGGAAAGAUUUUGCUUAAGCUCAUAAAUUUACCCACUCAGGCAUAUGAGAUAGGGUACUUUGAUUUAUAAAUGAAGUUUAAAAUUAAGGGAAUUUAAUUAAGUUUUCAAAAUGAGAUUGGUUGUUUUAAGGGGAAUUUACUUUGUGUAACUUGAGUUCAUCAAACGCUAAUCCAAGUUCCCUGCAAAACCUGUUCUGUUUUAUAUAACAUUUACUCGUUUUAGAAAUAGAUGAGAUUUGCAAAUUGAACCUAAAGACUUAAGGCAAAUUAUGUAUCUUUUUAUACUUUAAUAAAGAAAAAUAAAAUAAAUUUGAAACACAAAUAACUCUAACUGGCCCUUUUUAUGUAAAAAGAAGUCCUUGAAUAAAAUUUACCUUGACAGCACUAGCAAUUCCGCAACUCUGGCGUGUGUCUUUGAAAAUGUCUUAUUUCCUCUGCGUUGCCCAGCCUCCUCUCUUGAUGGUUCUGCUGGGGGUGGUGGGGAGCGGUUGGAGCGGGGGAACACACAUCUGGGAAUACUUUUCUACCUCAUUCAGGGCAUCUAGCUGACUCCUUAGUGGGCGGGCUUCCUAAUGGAUUCCUGGGGCUUCUGC